UGAAGUUACGCUGCACUGUCAGAAUUCAAUCGAAUUAUGGCUAGCAAAGCUGUCAGACUUUUACCUUGGAAGUCGUUUAAUUUUUUAUCGAUUAAUGCAAAACAAUACUGUGCUAAUCACAAUUUGAUAUUAACAGUAAAGAGAAAUUAUUUUAGAGAAAAGUUAUGCUUCUCGAACAGCUUUUAUCCUUCAUUUUUAAUAAGUUGUCGCGGUUCAAAGUUUUUAAAUUGGCCAACUCCAGAAUUUUUGCCUUUUAAAUGGGAAAGAGUAAGAAAAGUUAAUCCUUUAGAUGUUACAGGUUUGUUUCUUUAAAUAUUGAAAAUGACCAUACGAAAUUCAUGAGAAUUGAACCCUCAUCUUCCAGGGUGGAAGCCAUUCAGCACACAGUAACUUCUGAUUCGCUUAUAUUUUGGAUAAAUCAAAUUUCUAUCGAUUAUUUUAAUUCGAUGUAGAAACAUUUGUUAUAUUUAAUUUACCAAUGUCUGUAUACGACAUUGUCUUAUUUUCAAAUAAUUUGGCCAUUCUAAACAUUUUGCAUAAUAUACAAAUUUAAAUGUAAGGAUACUAAUUCCUAUUAUGGAUUUCAUGCUUGAAACACGGAGAUACCAAUGAUUAGGCCACAUGCAAGCUAUCAAAUUUUGUCAGGAGAUAUUACGUGAUUCAAUAUUAGAAGUUAUAAAAUGUGUAAUUAUGGUUAUCACCAUUGGUAGUUUUAAGUAUCUACAUCUCUAACCAAGGAUUUCAAAAUAAUAAAACUUCUAAUAGGUCCGUUUUUAAGAUCCAACUUGAGUCGCCUGCAACAAUCCGUUUUAAAACUAAUUACGUGCCACUAAUGAUUGACUAUAAAAUUUUAAAAGUUUUAAGAAUAAG
rnacentral:lncRNA from 1 species